AUGUAUGUGAUGAUUAUGUCCCCAGGUGAUUGAAGCUGAAAUUACUGACUGUAUUUUCUCCUUUGAGGGAAAAGCCAAGCCAGAUAUUCUGAUCCAU